rnacentral:lncRNA from 1 species
CCUCUGCAUAGUCACAGAUAUAUAUAUCCAUUAAUUUCUAGAUUACAAAAUCUUUAUAUAUGUAUAAAAAGAAAGAAAAAAAAAAAGAUUACAAAACCUAAUCUUGAUCCGGUUUUUAAUUAGUAGGGUUUUUUUAAAAAAAAACAGUUUAAAAGCAGAAACCUUUUGAUCAGCGGGAGGCAAGAGGGCACGAAGUGAAGAGUACAAGGCGUUAAGCUUUCUACGGCGGUCUCGUUCGCUUGCGUUGUGAUUCAGUUUCUUCUCCAAAAGUGUUCCUCUAUCUUCUUCUUGAUCAUUGUUACUGUUACUGUUAGUACCAUUGCUGUGACUAAGACUCAUGUUGAUGUUAUGAUAGUUCUUGGAUUCAUCUGAUUGGGUGAAAGAAGGAUAAAGGAGAGAAGGAAGAUAUUGGAGAGUAGGAGGGAAGGAAUACUCUUGAUGAGACUGCAACCAUGGAUUCUCCAUUGUUGAAGCAGAGUACCAUUCUUGUCGCUUACUUGUUGGAAAUAUUGGUGUUAAGGCACACAUCUUAUUUUUGUCUUCUUAUGCGUGAGAAGGAUAGUACCGAAUAAAGAGGGAGAGAGAGAGAGAGCCUUUGAUGGUGAAG